rnacentral:rRNA from 1 species
CCUACGGGAGGCUGCAGUGGGGGAUAUUGCACAAUGGGGGAAACGCUGAUGCAGCAACGUCGCGUGUGGGAAGAAGGCCCUAGGAUUGUUAAACCUCGUUUGUGGUGAAGCAAAUGACAGUAACCAAGGAGCAAGCUCCGGCUUACUACGUGACAGGAGCCGCGGUAAUACGUAGGGAGCAAGCGUUGUCCGGAUUUACUGGGUGUUAAGGGUGCGUAGGCGGUCUUGCAAGUCAGGCGGGAAAACCACAGGUUCAACCUGUGGACUGCGGUUGAAACUGUGGGGCUUGAGUGAAGGAGAGGUAGGCGGAAUGCGCGGUGUAGCGGUGAAAUGCAUAGAGAUCAGGAAGAACACCGAUGGCGAAGGCAGCCUACUGGGGUGUAACUGACGCUGAUGCACGAAAGCGUGGGUAGCGAACAGGAUUAGAUACCCUAGUAGUC